rnacentral:rRNA from 1 species
CCUACGGGAGGCAGCAGUGGGGAAUAUUGCACAAUGGGGGAAACCCUGAUGCAGCGACGCCGCGUGAGUGAAGAAGUAUUUCGGUAUGUAAAGCUCUAUCAGCAGGGCAGAAAUAGCGACCUUUGGGUCGCCAGACGGUACCUGCUUAAGAAGCCCCGGCUAACUACGUGCCAGCAGCCGCGGUAAUACGUAGGGGGCAAGCGUUAUCCGGAUUUACGGGGUGUAAAGGGGGCGUAGACGGCAGCGCAAGUAUGAAGUGAAAUGCCGGGGCUUAACCCCGGAACUGCUUUGGAAAUUGUGCAGCUAGAGUGCAGGAGAGGUAAGUGGAAUUCCUGGUGUAGCGGUGAAAUGCGUAGAGAUUAGGAGGAACACCAGUGGCGAAGGCGGCUUACUGGACUGUAACUGACGUUGAGGCUCGAAAGCGUGGGGAGCAAACAGGAUUAGAUACCCGAGUAGUC